UCGGUAGCGCAUAUAUUAUACUAAAAGCGGAGCGAUACAGAGGUUAGCCUGGCACCUGUGCAAGGAUGACAUGCAAAUUCGUGAAGCAUGUCGUAUUUUU
rnacentral:snRNA from 1 species